AUGCAUAUACCUGUAUAUGUGUGUGUGUGUAUAUGUAUAUAUAUGUACACACACACACAUAUAUAGGAAAUGAAUA
rnacentral:pre_miRNA from 8 species